CAAAGAUGAAACCUCACCGCCAACAACAUGUUAAGUUUCUUAUCGAUAGCCUCCCAAGUACAGAGAGUGAAAGAGCCACAAAUACAAGUGCAUCUACUCAUCUAUCUUCUACUGAGGUGGUGAGACAAAGCCCUCACUUCCCUAACCUUCAUGCAAUAUUCAUCAAUAGUGGGAGCUCUCAAGAAGACUUGUCAAAGUUUGACAAGCCAACGGAAAACAAGGUCAUUGAGGAAGUCCAGAAGAAACCACUUCAAAAGGGAAUUGAUGAACAAGCAGAGGAGUUCAUCCAACGAAGGAGGAAGUUCUUGGAGUUUCAAAAGCUUCUAUCUACCAAGACAGUGUAAGUCAAGAGGAUGAUGUGUACUCUAGUAUUACUCAUCAGCCAUUAGUUUACAUAUCAAAUAAAUGUACCAGGUAACCUACAUACUUGUGCUUGCAUGGUUUGAACAAUUUGUUUUUAGUUUAUCAUGGAUGGCUAUUCAACUUUUAUGGUGUUCUAGACUAUGUAUGUUUGCUUCAUGAGAUCUUCAUAAAAUAAUUGUUUCAAGUAUGGUUCAAGAUAAGAGUCAAUUUCCAAUAGAGUUUAUCUUUCUACAGUAUGUAGUUAAUAUGAAUGUACUUUUAUUUAGUUUUUAUAUAUACCUUGAGGUUCAUAAUGCCAUCUUCUAUGCUUGUUUUUGAGAAAAUCUCAAAAGUAGAAAAAUCUUUAGAAAUCUAGAGAGCUAUAUGGUUCUAAAAUACAUCUACUGUUGAAUUCAUGGGGAAUAGAUUAAAAAGAUAAUUUUUUAAAAUGAGGGCUGAAUUGAAUAAAAAGAAUCCAUUUGACACUUGUUUUGGAUAAUAACCAACAUGAAAAAUCAGAGCGUAACUUAACUCUUGUUUGAAUUUUUCAGAUUUUGUGAAUAUCUUAUUUAGGUAGACAUAAUUUUCUUUUAUGCAAAGGAUAAACUCAUCUCUUGUAAUCAUAACUUCUUCAUAUGAUAGACUACACAUCAUUAAAAAUGUAACCAAAAUAAAAUCACCCAAAAAACUCUUUCUCAUAUUCUAGAUUGUCUUCUUAUAUCUUCUAUUAGUAGUGAUAUUUGCCUCUCUUUCACUAGCUCCCAAGUCAUAGAAAGGUUGGAUUAUUAAUACCCUUCACAUCUCUAUCAUGGCCAUAUGCUUAGUAAUUCAAAACCAAUAGUGGAAAUUCAUCGUUAUAGCCACGCAUUGAUUGAAGUCAAAACCCUAAAAAUAUUGUUUCAACAUCACUGAAGCAACAAAUAUAGAGAGAGAAAUGUGAUACUUACUAUGAAAGCCCAAAAUAUAAACUACUUACUACACGAUUGUGAAGCCUAUGAGGCUAUCACACAUACAUAACCAUCACAACUAAUCUCUCUCUCUCUCUCUCUCUAUAUAUAUAUAUAUAUAUAUAUAUAUAUAUCUCUAUAUAUAUAUAGAUAUACAGAUAUCAUAACUGUAUAGUUCACAAGUUGAAUGAGGAUGCCAUUUUAUGUGGGAUUUUUCAUGUUUGAAUCAAGACUAGGCCGUGUACAAGAUCUACAACCUUAAAAGAGGCUUGGCCUGGGCCAUUAACAUCUUACUGAGCCUUGCAUUAACCCCAGUGCUACCAACCACGGUGACCGCGAACAUCAUGUGAUCAGUUUGAUGCCCAGUUGAAGCUCAUUUGUUAUCUAUUUUUUCAUUUUUUCUAGAAAAAGUGGGUUUGGCUCACCUAGCCCUAAAAUGGGCCGGUUCUCAUUUAGACUCAGCCCGGCCCACAUCUGUUCGAACCACCCCGGUGCUUAUUUUUAUUGGACGCAAUUUUGUAAGCUUGUUCUUGGGCCGAUUAUUUGACAAGUGUCCAACGACGGCGGUUUGACAGUCACCGUAGGUUAACAGAAUCUAACUGUCCACACCAACCCACGUCCUUCUUAAAUAGAUAGUAUUUUUGUAUUUAUUAGGGAAAUAAUUAUGCUCCUACCCUUCUUUGGGCUGGAAUAAUUAUUCUAAGCUUUCUAAGCUUCUAUUUAUUUAAGAAGGACGUGGGUCGGUGUGGACGGUUAGAUUCUGGGAACCUACGGUGACUCUGCAACCGCCGUCAGCAUCGAGUCAACGGCUGCGAAGUCUCGAGGAAGCGGCGCUCUGGCGAUUGCGCGCCUCCAGCAUCAGCCGCCGACGUCGCCGCCGCCACGUCACCCAUCGUAUGGCGGCAUGCUUACCGCAUUCGUGGCCGCCUCGCGGGAAUAUUUCAAUGAUUUUGGGCGUCAAAGGUUGUUUCCGUAAAGUUUUGCGUCAUUGAUCAGUUCGAAAAAU
rnacentral:lncRNA from 1 species